rnacentral:rRNA from 1 species
GAUGAACGCUGGCGGCGUGCCUAAUACAUGCCAGUCGAGCGAACGGACGAGAAGCUUGCUUCUCUGAUGUUAGCGGCGGACGGGUGAGUAACACGUGGAUAACCUACCUAUAAGACUGGGAUAACUUCGGGAAACCGGAGCUAAUACCGGAUAAUAUUUUGAACCGCAUGGUUCAAAAGUGAAAGACGGUCUUGGUGUCACUUAUAGAUGGAUCCGCGCUGCAUUAGCUAGUUGGUAAGGUAACGGCUUACCAAGGCAACGAUGCAUAGCCGACCUGAGAGGGUGAUCGGCCACACUGGAACUGAGACACGGUCCAGACUCCUACGGGAGGCAGCAGUAGGGAAUCUUCCGCAAUGGGCGAAAGCCUGACGGAGCAACGCCGCGUGAGUGAUGAAGGUCUUCGGAUCGUAAAACUCUGUUAUUAGGGAAGAACAUAUGUGUAAGUAACUGUGCACAUCUUGACGGUACCUAAUCAGAAAGCCACGGCUAACUACGUG